UGGGGAAUAUUGCACAAUGGGCGGAAGCCUGAUGCAGCGACGCCGCGUGGGGGAUGAAGGCCUUCGGGUUGUAAACUCCUUUCGACAGGGACGAAGCUUUUGUGACGGUACCUGUAUAAGAAGCACCGGCUAACUACGUGCCAGCAGCCGCGGUAAUACGUAGGGUGCGGGCGUUGUCCGGAAUUACUGGGCGUAAAGAGCUCGUAGGUGGUUUGUCGCGUCGUCUGUGAAAUUCCGGGGCUUAACUCCGGGCGUGCAGGCGAUACGGGCUGACUUGAGUGCUGUAGGGGAGACUGGAAUUCCUGGUGUAGCGGUGAAAUGCGCAGAUAUCAGGAGGAACACCGAUGGCGAAGGCAGGUCUCUGGGCAGUAACUGACGCUGAGGAGCGAAAGCAUGGGUAGCGAACAGG
rnacentral:rRNA from 1 species